rnacentral:misc_RNA from 1 species
GAUGAAGAACGUAGCGAAAUGAGAUACUUGGUGUGAAUUGCAGAAUCCCGUGAACCAUCGAGUCUUUGAACGCAAGUUGCGCCCGAAGCCACUAGGCCGAGGGCACGCCUGCCUGGGCGUCACACGUCGUUGCCACCCCAUCUACUCCUUCGGGAUUGCGGGGGGGCGGAUGAUGGCCUCCCGUGCGCCUAGCCGCGCGGUUGGCAUAAAUACCAAGUCCUCGGCGACGCACGCCACGACAAUCGGUGGUUGCGAAACCUCGGUUGCCCGUCGUGUGCGUUCGUCGCGCAUCGAGGGCUCGAAAAAAUGCUCGGCUUCGGCUCGGCUUUCAACGCGACCCCAGGUCAGGAGGGGUUACCCGCUGAAUUUAAGCAUAUCAAUAAGCGGAGGA